rfam:Parcubacteria (Nomurabacteria) bacterium GW2011_GWB1_47_6 TY01_C0005, whole genome shotgun sequence.
GGGGAUGCCAGGCAUAGACAGUUGGCCUAAAGCUCCCGAUGCAUGCCGAGCAUGGACUUAAUCUCGUAAAAAUUAGUUCAAUUGUUAAUUGCAAAAUUAACUUCUGCGGCAAAGAGCUUGGUUUCUCCGUACUUCGGUAUGGGUGACUUCGCUUUUGCCCGAGUUUAACCUUAGGGUUGGCUCUGUCUUACCGCUCGACUUCCGAUAAAGCGGCUAAGGCAUAAUAUUAUCGGGAUAGGAGGAAGAGCGUCCCGGCUUCUCUCCGAAACAAAGGGAAUCGGCCCUGAAAUAUUUGGCUCGCUUAUUAAUUUCAGGGUUUAAACCAAAAAGCGCGCUACGCAUGUAGACUUCGCGGCUCUAACCUUCUGCACGGGGAUUCGAUUUCCCCCAUCUCCACCA